rnacentral:rRNA from 1 species
AUUGAACGCUGGCGGCAUGCUUUACACAUGCAAGUCGGACGGCAGCGGGGUAGUGCUUGCACUACUGCCGGCGAGUGGCGCACGGGUGAGUAAUAUAUUGGAACGUACCGAGUAAUGGGGGAUAACCAAUCGAAAGAUUGGCUAAUACCGCAUACGCUCUGAGGAGGAAAGCAGGGGACCUUCGGGCCUUGCGUUAUUCGAGCGGCCAAUAUCUGAUUAGCUAGUUGGUGGGGUAAGGGCCUACCAAGGCGACGAUCAGUAGCGGGUCUGAGAGGAUGAUCCGCCACACUGGGACUGAGACACGGCCCAGACUCCUACGGGAGGCAGCAGUGGGGAAUUUUGGACAAUGGGCGCAAGCCUGAUCCAGCCAUGCCGCGUGUCUGAAGAAGGCCUUCGGGUUGUAAAGGACUUUUGUUAGGGAAGAAAAAGGAGCGGUUAAUACCCGUUUCUGCUGACGGUACCUAAAGAAUAAGCACCGGCUAACUACGUG